CGCCUGCACCAGGCGCUUCCGCCACCAUGGCUUCACGUGGGGUUGUUGGCAUUUUCUUCCUCUCUGCUGUCCCCCUUGUGUGUCUGGAGCUCCGGCGUGGGAUCCCGGAUAUAGGAAUCAAGGAUUUUCUUUUGCUUUGUGGCCGGAUUUUGCUACUGCUUGCUCUUCUUACUUUAACUAUUUCUGUGACUACCUCAUGGCUUAACUCAUUUAAAUCUCCCCAAGUUUAUCUGAAGGAAGAAGAAGAAAAGAAUGAGAAAAGACAAAAACUUGUGAGAAAAAAACAACAAGAAGCACAAGGAGAGAAGGCCAGCAGAUACAUAGAGAAUGUUUUAAAACCUCACCAGGAAAUGAAAUUGAGAAAACUGGAGGAGCGCUUUUAUCAAAUGACGGGUGAAGCCUGGAAAUUAAGCAGUGGUCACAAACUUGGGGCUGAGUCUCACUCUGUCGCCCAAGUUGGAGUGCAAUGGCACCAUCU
rnacentral:lncRNA from 1 species